GUGUACCGCUCGUACACUCGCGCGCGAGCCCGGUGCCGUUCCUGCGCGCCGCGCGCGCCCAUCUGACAAUCGCUCGCUACGUUUUGCCAGCC
rnacentral:sRNA from 1 species